rnacentral:lncRNA from 1 species
UGUGGGCACCGAGGUUAAAACCAAUAAUAUGGCAUUGUGAAAGCAAUUCACUUAUGAAGACCUAUUAGAGAUCUACUACACUUGUGGGUUAAUAGGAUGUGCAGUAGAGUUUGGGGGCUGUUCUACCAUUCAACCAAUUAAUACUAAGUCGAUCUAAGGCCCUUGGAUAUGUGUGGCUAGGGUCCUUAUAUCACCACAAACACCCGUAGGUUAGAGG